UACGGAGGGUGCAAGCGUUAUCCGGAUUCACUGGGUUUAAAGGGUGCGUAGGUGGGAAUGUAAGUCAGUGGUGAAAUCUCCGUGCUUAACAUGGAAACUGCCAUUGAUACUAUGUUUCUUGAAUUUUCUGGAGGUAAGCGGAAUAUGUCAUGUAGCGGUGAAAUGCAUAGAUAUGACCCAGAACACCGAUUGCGAAGGCAGGCUACUACGACUUAAUCGACACUGAGGCACGAGAGCAUGGGUAGCGAACAGG
rnacentral:rRNA from 1 species